UGACGGUACCUGACUAAGAAGCCCCGGCUAACUACGUGCCAGCAGCCGCGGUGAUACGUAGGGGGCAAGCGUUAUCCGGAUUUACUGGGUGUAAAGGGAGCGUAGACGGAAUUGCAAGUCUGAUGUGAAAGGCAUGGGCUCAACCUGUGGACUGCAUUGGAAACUGUGAUUCUUGAGUGCCGGAGGGGUAAGCGGAAUUCCUGGUGUAGCGGUGAAAUGCGUAGAUAUCAGGAGGAACACCGGUGGCGAAGGCGGCUUACUGGACGGCAACUGACGUUGAGGCUCGAAGGCGUGGGGAGCAAACAGGAUUAGAUACCCUG
rnacentral:rRNA from 1 species